UAGGAGUUUUCAACCAGCACAGCAAAUAUACGAGUCUAAUUACAAACUGAGGAGUGGGAGUCGGAGGUACGAUGAACUGAGAAAGAUUUUGUUUGCCGACUUCCACAGACGAAUUACAUGGAUCGGAGGUACAACAAAUAGAGGAAGGUUUUGUUUACCGACUUUCACAAAAUCAAUUUUGUUGGGUCGCAGGUACAGUGAAUUCCGUUGGGUCGGAGGUACGAUGAAUAGAGGAAUGUAUUGUUUACUGAAUUCCACAGAUAAAUUUGGGAGACAGAGGUAUGAUAAAUUGAGGAAGGUUUUGUGUACCGACUUCCACAGACAAAUUUGUUAUUUAAAGGUACAAUAAAUUGAGGGGGUUUUAUGUACUGACUUCCUCAGAUACAUUUGGGAGAUGGACAUAUGAUAAAUUGAGGAAGGUUUUGUUUACCAACUUCCAGAGAUUCAUUUUGUAGUUGGAAGUACAAUGAAUUUGGGAGAUGUAGAUACAAUGAA